UGGGGAAUUUUGCGCAAUGGGGGAAACCCUGACGCAGCAACGCCGCGUGGAGGAUGAAGCCCCUUGGGGUGUAAACUCCUUUCGAUAGGGAAGAUAAUGACGGUACCUAUAUAAGAAGCCCCGGCUAACUUCGUGCCAGCAGCCGCGGUAAUACGAGGGGGGCAAGCGUUGUUCGGAAUUAUUGGGCGUAAAGGGCGCGUAGGCGGUCUGAUAAGUCUUGUGUGAAAUCUCUGGGCUCAACCCAGAGUCUGCACAGGAAACUGUCGGGCUUGAGUAUGGGAGAGGUGCGUGGAAUUUCCGGUGUAGCGGUGAAAUGCGUAGAUAUCGGAAGGAACACCUGUGGCGAAAGCGGCGCACUGGACCAAAACUGACGCUGAGGCGCGAAAGCUAGGGGAGCAAACAG
rnacentral:rRNA from 1 species